rnacentral:lncRNA from 1 species
CCCUAACAAAGAUGUGAUGUGUGAAGGAUGCUUACUUACCCAGACUAUGACCUUUGCCAUUCUAGGGAGAGUUACAGGAAUAGUGCAGGGUUUAAGAUAUUAUCCUACACAGAUGGAAGACCAACCAGAGCAGCCCUAAUUUUCCAUGAGGCUAUAUAUAAUGUGGUAAAAUCGUGGGGACUUAAUUCCAUCAUAUGGAGGGUUACUGAAUGUAUCAGAGACAGCCUGCAGUUCAUCACCACACAAAUUAGGAGCAACGUAAGAAGAGAAAAAGAAAAAGGAAUUACAGAUUAAAAAAUGCAAGAGAAUAUAAACAAAAACAUGUUCAACUGGAAUUUGUAUUGGGAUUGUAUUAAAUGGAUGAACUAAUUUGUGAAGAAAUGAUAUCAUUCCAUCCAAGAGCAUGGAACUCCUAUUUUUCCUAUUGUCUUCUAUGUUUCUUUUUAAAAAGUUUUAAGUUUUCUCUGUAGAGUUUUUUGCAUUCUGGAUGAUUUUAAUUGAAACAUACUGUAUAGAUAUUGUUACUAUUAUAAGUGGUGCCUCUUAUUAGAUUUUGUAAUUCAUUAUGAUUGGUAAAGCAAAUAGGAUAGAUUUUGAACCUAGAAAACUGCCUCAAUUACCUCAUUACUUCAAAAAGUAUUGCCAUUGGUUCUAUUGCUUUUUUUAAAAAAAACAUGAUAAUAUCUUCUGCACAUUAUGAAAUUUUAUCUCAACACUUUCAAUCACUGCAUCUCUGUUUGACACCGAUGAACACUUCCAAAGUGAAAUAUUUUGCUCUCUUUAUUUUUCUCCUUUUGCUUUUUGGGGCCUCUUUACUUUCUAAACUUGUCACUUCUUGGUUUAUCUUCCAUACCUCUUGGCUUUUCUUUUGUGUAGUAUACUUUAGCUUCAUUCUGGGAGAGUUUUUCAUUCUGAACUUUUCGAUUUACUAGUUUAUUCUCCAUCAGUAUGUUUGCUAAUUUUUCUUCCAUUGACUGCUUUUCCCAAAUACUUAUUUUUCAUACUUUAUAUUUUCACUUGGAAUUUGGGGGGAAUAUUUUGUUCUAGUUUCAAAUUGAUCCUAUAUUUUUUGUCUCCUUAAGUAUAUUUAUCAGGCUUAUUUUAAAUUCUUGAUUUAUGUGUUAUAAUAAUGCUACCUUAGAUGGCAUAUGCUGCUCAAUUUUUCUUUCCCUUUUCCACUCUAGUAGUGGUAGUCCUCUGGCUUCUGGUUAUUUUUGUCUCUAGAGUUAUGUUAUGCUAUUAUAACAGAUGUGAGAAAGGGCCCAAAACCAGGUUUUAGCCUGUGUCUGCUCUAAUGAGUUAAUGUGAUUACUAUGGAUGAUCUUCAGAGUAGAAUACAAUAAGCAAUUGUUGUUUAUUACAAGUUUCGAGUUUAUAACUGUGAAAUCUACUGUGCUUCCUAAUUUAGCACCUUUAACAAUCUAUGAUCUAGGCUAUUGCUUCCAACUUUUAAAGUUUAAGGGAAGACACUGAUUGUCCCAAGGAAAUGUGGUCAGAGGAAAUAACAGAGGUAAUACUCAAAAUAAGAAAUACUCGAAAUAAGUUAAUGUGAAAAAUAAUAGUAUAGAAGCAGCUCAAGAAGGAAAUGAUGAGUUGCAAGAUCAGAUUGAAGAACUGUUCCAGAAGGCAGCAAGAAACAAUAAUGUAAAAUUUUAAAAAUUAAUAAUAAUAACAAAAAACUAAAAGACAUGGAGGAUAGAAAUAGAUAUAUAUGGUGUGUUGUAUGAGAUGAGUCAGUUAGCUUAUGAGCAAGCAACCCAACCAUAUCUAAACAUAUAUCUGAGUAUGCUUUAACUCAUGUACUUACAAAAUUGCAUUUCUUAGUGAAAAAAAAAUCAAGAAAGAAAACAAUUCCUAAGGUUAGUGAUGAAAGUAUAAAGUCAAGAGAUAAACUAGUGAUUUUCAAAAAAAAAAAAAAAAAGUAACUUUAGAGUGGCAAAUCAAAUGUCACUCUGUUCAUACAAGAUUCAUGAAACUGUUUCAGAGAGGGUUUUGUUCCUUGCAAAAGUUGUUCACCCACAAGAGACAGAUUUUGUAAAAUUUAAAAUGUAGCUAAUUUUCCAUGUGAUUAGGCAGUGUAAUUUAAAGAAACUCAAGAUUUUCUACAAAUAAUUUUUUGAGGCAAGAAGAUGCUAAAGUCACUUGUACUGCCACUAAACUUUACUAAAAGUUGGUUUGAACACUUUAAUUGCUUUUGAAUAGAUGAUUGAAGCUGUGAAGAGGUGGCAGCAGCUGACAUGUUGCCAUGGUAGCAUUUCCUCCCCAGCUGAGGAGGCUAUACAGAAGAAAGGAUAUAGGUCAGAAAGUGUUUAUACUGACAAAACAACCGCAUAUUAAAAUCAAAUGCUUUUGUAAACAUCAUAAGCCAAAUGAGAGUUGUGAAAUCUAGUUUCAGGCUAUUAAAGACAGACUGAUUUAUCUUUAGGAUGAUGUAUCAAGCUGUACGGUGAGAAUGGAGCAUUCAAGGUCAAGAAUACUCUCCUUCCUGCAUAUUGGCAAUUCAAUUUUAAAAGAUUGAAACACGAUGAAAGUGUUUCUAUCAGUUUCUUCUGUGUUCCUUGCAAUAAGGAUAUAUUUAAUUGAAAAAUUCUUCUGGAAGGUAGUUCAUCUCUGAAUAAACUACUCCAGGGUAAGGAGGAUCAACUCUAUGAUCAAUAAAUAUCUGUUGGUUAAUUACUUUUGUACUCUGACAAAAUUUUAUAAAUGCAAUUAAGGAAGAUCUAACUACAAUGAGAGAGGGAAUAAGAGAGAGAAAGGUGGGAAGAAAUGGAGUAAAGUUGGCCAGUAGUUCAGUGGGGAGACAGAAUGAAAGAAAUAUGAUGGAAAGAAGGAAGGAAAGAAAAAGGGAAGAAAGGAAGGAAGGAAGGAGAUAGGUAGGGAGG